GGGAAGGGGGGGGGCGUGCCUAUACAUGCAAGUCGAGCGGAGAUUUGAAAAGCUUGCUUUUCAAAUCUUAGCGGCGGACGGGUGAGUAACACGUGGGCAACCUGCCCUUGAGACGGGGAUAACUCCGGGAAACCGGAGCUAAUACCGGAUAACACAUAUCUUCGCAUGAGGAUAUGUUAGAAGGUGGCUUUUAGCUACCACUCAAGGAUGGGCCCGCGGCGCAUUAGCUAGUUGGUGAGGUAACGGCUCACCAAGGCGACGAUGCGUAGCCGACCUGAGAGGGUGAUCGGCCACACUGGGACUGAGACACGGCCCAGACUCCUACGGGAGGGCAGCAGU
rnacentral:rRNA from 2 species